rnacentral:rRNA from 1 species
UUUUCCUACGGGAGGCAGCAGUAGGGAAUCUUCCACAAUGGGCGAAAGCCUGAUGGAGCAACGCCGCGUGGGUGAAGAAGGUCUUCGGAUCGUAAAACCCUGUUGUUAGAGAAGAAAGUGCGUGAGAGUAACUGUUCACGUUUCGACGGUAUCUAACCAGAAAGCCACGGCUAACUACGUGCCAGCAGCCGCGGUAAUACGUAGGUGGCAAGCGUUAUCCGGAUUUAUUGGGCGUAAAGGGAACGCAGGCGGAGGAGCAAGUCUGAUGUGAAAAUCCGGGGCCCAACCCCGGAACUGCAUUGGAA